rnacentral:rRNA from 1 species
GACGGAGGAUGCAAGCGUUAUCCGGAAUGAUUGGGCGUAAAGCGUCCGCAGGUGGCAGUUCAAGUCUGCUGUCAAAGACCGGGGCUUAACUUCGGAAAGGCAGUGGAAACUGAACAGCUAGAGUAUGGUAGGGGCAGAGGGAAUUCCUGGUGUAGCGGUGAAAUGCGUAGAGAUGAGGAAGAACAUCGGUGGCGAAGGCGCUCUGCUGGACCAUAACUGACACUCAGGGACGAAAGCUAGGGGAGCGAAUGGG